rnacentral:misc_RNA from 1 species
GCUGUACGGAGAAUUUUGCAAGGUAGAAUUGCAAUUUCUUGGUGCUCUUUUUAGUUAUUCAUUAUCAUACUUUGUCCUUAGAUUAUAUGUGUAUCAUCAAGGAAUUUUUUUUUACUUUUGAGCCUUCCGUCAUUGAAUAGAUUACGGCUGAAAGAAGAAUGUGAUAUUUUACUUACUGUGGAACUGUUGGUUUUUUCCCCCUUUCCUGUCAUGCUGAAACUAUUUUGCAAAUUGUAGUUCAUACUUCAUUCACAUUUUUAUGUUGGAAUCGUGGCAUGAGAAUUAAGAAUUAAGCUAGAUAAUGGAUGGG